AAGCUCCUUGUAUAUGAAUUCAACAGGUUUCUCUGCUUCCUCUAUUUCUGCCCCAAGGACAGGUCCAGCAUCAGGCUCUGGCUCUGCAUGAUGCUCCGGUCGCUGGGCUGGGCAUAGAGGAUGGCCACCUCUUUCUCAUUCUUCAUCAAGUGCAGCCUCAUCCUCCUGACUGCUCCAGAGCUCCUUGAUCAGCAGCAGCAGGAAAUGAAGCAUCGUUAGGGUUGGGUUUGUCUGGACUCAAACUUCCUCUUGGAAGUGACUUGCUUGGGAUUUGUCUUAAUUUCUUCCCCAGGAGGACCUAAAGUUUCUUUGAGCAAUUUAUUGUAGAAAGCCCAAAACACUGCAGGAGCCUGUGCAUUUUCCAAGGUAAAGCUGUGGCAGCUCAGGGGUUCCUUUGCCCGGAGGGCAGCUCCUCUCUGACACUAUUCCAUAGGGAUGCUUCACUCGAGCUGAGCAUCAGGAGCCUGUCUGCAGCCAUGAAGUGACUUCAGGGCUUGGAGACAAACGUAUUUGGAUGUCAAAAAGCUAUGUGGUUUGAAAGUUUCCACUGUCUGUAGUGGUUUGCAGAUGACCAAUGUUAACGCCCUCUUGUCCAUGGUGUUUAUACAAGGCACUGAAGUGAAGAGGAGGGAUGGAGAGUGCUGCCAGAGCCAGCCCUGGGUUGGUUGAGCCUUGCCAGAUCUGAGCAGGGCAGGAAUGGAGGCAAAGCCAGGAUCUAGCCAUGGAGAGGUCCAGGGUGUUUUUGCUGCAUCCAUAUUUAUAACGGCUCGGGUGCACUCUUGGUCAGUGAGUUUGUAGCUCCAUUUCUAACUAGGUGCUUUGGUUUUUGUU